rnacentral:lncRNA from 10 species
CAUGGUUUUAUUAAUAAUGUGAAUAGGCAGAGCUAAAAGAAGAAUCACAAUGAAAGUCCAUGUGACAUUAAUCAACUGUAUAAUCAUUUGAGUAGAAAAAGAACAGAACUAAGUAACAUGUAUAAACAUUGAAAAUAUAUUGAUGAAAACUGUAUCUUAAAGAUAGGAUGCAAUGAAUAAAUGGUUUGAUACUUUGUAGCUUUCAGAAUCCCCUGCCCCCAACCUAACAAAAAAGUUGUAUAUUGCCUUCACAUUCCACUUCUGCACAUAUUUGGGGGGACAUAUUAUAAACAGUAAACAUGGAACUGUGUUUAUUUAUAUUUGUGUUCACUGUAUAUCUGCCCAUUGAUUUAUAUAUUCAGUUUGGAAACCCAAAUCUCAAACCAAAUACAUUAUCCAAUGCCAACUAUAUUCCAGUUUCUUAUUCAAUAUUUGGCACGUUGUGUUAAUUUCACUUAAAUUCAAAUAUUUGCCCACUUAUAUUCUCGCAUUUAAAUUAAAAUCUCUAUCACUUAUUUAAGCCACUUAACUGAGUAUGUGUGGAAUGAAUUAAGGAUAAGGUCAUUAUCAAUGUAUCUCGUGGUCCUCUUUGUACUUUUCCUGGGAGUACGAUAUCUUUCAAUUCUAAGCCACUAAUAGAAAGUGUAUUCUGAAUAGGGGAUGCCUAAUUAAUUGCAUAAACUUUAGCUAGAAUCCUUCAACAUCUCCAUCCGGGUUUUAAGGUUUAGCUCCUUUUGAUUGGUCCUGCUGCAAGCAAGGAACUAGCAUUAACUGAAGGGCAGUAAAUCAUAUUCAAAUGUAUUUUUAACAUAAGCAAAUUGAUCAUUAAAUCCAGGUAUACACUAAUUUCUCUGGUUCCUCAGUGAUCUUCAGCUACACUUCCUUCCUGACUGUACUGACCAAGAUUGCCACAAAUGUGGGCCUCUUUGCUGUGGACAUAAAGUAUAAGUCAUUUACUUGAAAUGAGCUCCAACAGAAAUGCAUGCUAGGUAAAACUGUAACUGCUUCUCCAGUUAGUACCACCAUCUGCAUGAGCUGCGUGGGGGCCUCUGCCCUUCAAGUUUAAAAAGGUCCCUUCUAACAGAAGCAGAAGAAAUGGAAAUGUUGCAAAGUACCUAAUGGGACCAAAGGAAUUUAGGAACAGGCAUCACCUGCAUCGACUGGCUGAUUAACUGAUUAAUUGAUUAAUUGAUUGAUUUGUUCAUUCAAAUGGUAUGUACUGAGCAG